rnacentral:rRNA from 1 species
UUGGAGGGAGUCUGGUGCCAGCAGCCGCGGUAAUUCCAGCUCCAAUAGCGUAUAUUAAAGUUGUUGCAGUUAAAAAGCUCGUAGUUGAAUUUCGGGAUUAGUACGUCGGUCGUGCCUUAGGUACGUACUGGUAUUACUGGUUCCUACCUUCUGACGAACCAUCAUGUCAUUAAUUUGGUGUGGUGGGGAAUCAGGACUGUUACUUGAAAAAUUGAGUGUUUAAAGCAGGCUCGCGCUUGAAUACAUUAGCAUGGAAUAUGAAUGGACGUU